rnacentral:lncRNA from 1 species
CAAACCGUGCAGUUGCCCCCCUAGAAUUAGAUGAUCCGUGUGCACGUGGCACUGGUGAGUGCUCUGGAAAUAGCUUUUCUUAUUUCUUAAAAGUUGUUUUUAAAGAUAGUUCAGAAACAAUGAGUGUUUUGUUGAAAUGGUGAGUUUGUGAUGGUGCCCAGACUUGCCUCCAUACACCGAGCCUGCAUGGCCCUUCCCCUGUGACCGCUGGGCCUGGACACACGGUGCAGCUUGACCAAGGGGACAAAAGCAGCCCUGACACCAGCAGAAACUUGGGAAGUGCUUGAAAGGCAUUGGACGUCCCCGCUGUUGCGGUGGGAACCUUCUGCUGCCAAGUGGGCAGGCCGAGUUGGCCUCCUGAGAAUGAGGGAGUGAAUGACAGAGACCUCAGGUGCCUCGGAGGCCAUGUCUCUGCCAAGGCCUUGCACGUGUGAGUGAGGCCCUCUUCCACCCCAGCCCAGCCCAGGAGUCUCAGCCCCGAGAACCUUCCAGCCAACCCUCAGAAUUUCGGGAAAUGAUGCUGCUUCCUUUACACCACUAGGCUGGUGGUGGUUUGUUAUGUAACCAAUUGAGAGAUCUUUAAAAAGUUAAUAAAUAAAGCUAAAGUUCUUCAGUGCAUACAAUCCAGAAGGGGAAUUGGUUCUGUAUGUUGAUGGUGGAAAGGAACACAGCACUGUGUAGAAUUUGGAGCCAAGACCUAAAGAAGCAAAGCCUAUAAAAUUCAUCUUUGGCUCCAGGCAUAAAAUGGUCUCUCAAAGUUUUAGGGUUUUGUUUGUGUGUUUUGCUUUUUGAAUGACUACUCUUUGAAAAUUCUUCUCUAAGAGAGAGAAAACUUAAUAUAAAAAUUCCAGAUUAGGUGUUGGGGACUCAUUUGUUAUCUUCUCUUGUGCACAUACAUCUCGAAGGAAGAAGUCUGCAAUAAAAAUACAAAGUUCAGCACAAUUAAUGUCAGCAGUUUUUCUCCACCGUAGGAUUAAUAAAGGAUCCAGAUGAUUUGCCAAGGUUGUCUGGUCCUGGUAAAAAAUGUAUGAAAUGC